UUUCCGUAGGUGAACCUGCGGAAGGAUCAUUAAUGUGUUUUGGCCUCACGGCUCUACAUUCCGACGCUGUGCGCCUUCGGGCUGCACGCUGAGGGAUCAUAUAGCCACCCCUGUGCACACACACGGUGGCGAGCUGGAUAACGGCUCGCCGCUGAUCUUUACACACGUCUAAAAGUCAUUGUAUGUUUAUUUGAAAUAAAAACACAACUUUCAGCAACGGAUCUCUUGGCUCUC
rnacentral:misc_RNA from 1 species